CGAUCACCGAAGUUAAAUAAAGUCGAGCUGGGUUUGUACUUAGAUGGGUGACCGCUUGGGAAUACCAGGUGCUGUA